GGCGCACGGGUGCGUAACGCGUAUGCAACCUACCUUAAUCUGGGGGAUAGCCCGGAGAAAUCCGGAUUAACACCGCAUAAAAACACAGGAUAGCAUUAUCCAAUGUUCAAAUAUUUAUAGGAUUGAGAUGGGCAUGCGUGUCAUUAGCUAGUUGGCGGGGUAACGGCCCACCAAGGCGACGAUGACUAGGGGAUCUGAGAGGAUGACCCCCCACACUGGUACUGAGACACGGACCAGACUCCUACGGGAGGCAGCAGUAAGGAAUAUUGGUCAAUGGAGGCAACUCUGAACCAGCCAUGCCGCGUGCAGGAAGACUGCCCUAUGGGUUGUAAACUGCUUUUAUCCGGGAAUAAACCUCUUUACGUGUAGAGAGCUGAAAUGUACCGGAAGUAAUAAGGAUCGGCUAACUCCGUGC
rnacentral:rRNA from 1 species